GGAAGUGUAGCACAGACACAGCAGGUAAACAGGUAGUAAUGUUAGGAUAAUACCGGGACGUUUAGGUGAUGGACAGGCAUGAGCUGCGUCUUUGGAUAUUUGCCGUUUUUGGGUUUGGACACAGACACCGUCAUUGACAGAGUUGCAGAGAAAAGUGAACUCCUACAGAAGCUCCUACUAUACUAAGGAAGCCUCUGUCUCUCAGGUUUUGUUGACUGUUCGUUUUCACAAAGUAAGCAAUGUUCCAUUUCAGGAUCCUCAUCCUCAUUCAGCAUUGUUCACGAGAUUGACAGGCAUUUGGUUUCUGGGAUCCUUUCAGUCGUAAAAAAGUUGCCUUACUUCUUGUGUUCAUUUGAAGCAAAUUGAGUUGUGGACUGCCAGCCAACGUGCUCCUGACCUUGUGUGUAAGAUGCAUUUUAAAUAAACCAUUGAAUGUGUA